CCUACGGGAGGCAGCAGUAGGGAAUCUUCGGCAAUGGGCGAAAGCCUGACCGAGCAACGCCGCGUGAAUGAUGAAGGCCUUCGGGUUGUAAAAUUCUGUUAUAAGGGAAGAACGACUUUAGUAGGAAAUGGCUAGAGUGUGACGGUACCUUAUGAGAAAGCCACGGCUAACUACGUGCCAGCAGCCGCGGUAAUACGUAGGUGGCGAGCGUUAUCCGGAAUUAUUGGGCGUAAAGAGCGCGCAGGUGGUUGAUUAAGUCUGAUGUGAAAGCCCACGGCUUAACCGUGGAGGGUCAUUGGAAACUGGUCGACUUGAGUGCAGAAGAGGGAAGUGGAAUUCCAUGUGUAGCGGUGAAAUGCGUAGAGAUAUGGAGGAACACCAGUGGCGAAGGCGGCUUCCUGGUCUGUAACUGACACUGAGGCGCGAAAGCGUGGGGAGC
rnacentral:rRNA from 1 species